rnacentral:rRNA from 1 species
GCCUGAAAUCUAGCCCACAAAUUCAUAUGCCCUCACACUACCCAAACAAGCAAGCAAAACAAAACAUUUUAACAAUUUAGUACAGGCGAUCGAAAAACUUCUAAGCGCUUCAGAUAAAGUACCGCAAGGGAAAUAUGAAAUAGAAAUGAAACAAUCCUAAAGCCCCAAAUAGCAGAGACACCACCUCGUACCUUUUGCAUCAUGGUCUAGCCAGUCUACCCAAGCAAAAUGAAAUUUUCAGUUUGACUCCCCGAAACCAAGCGAGCUACUUCAGAACAGCCAAAAGGGCCAACCCGUCUCUGUUGCAAAAGAGUGGGAAGAUUCUCAAGUAGAGGUGAUAAGCCUACCGAGCUAGGAGAUAGCUGAUUGUUCAAGAAAAGAGUUUUAGCUCAACCUUAAGUUUUUUUAUUAAACUAAACAGACCCUCAGACUUAAGAGCUAUUCAAAUAAGGCACAGCUUAUUUGAAAUAGGAUACAACCUACGACAUAGGGUAAACAAGAGUUACUUAAAUAAAGUGGGCCUAAAAGCAGCCAUCUUUAAAAAAGCGUUAAAGCUUAACUACCCUCUACUCACAAUACCUAAAACCUUCACUAACCCCUCACUACUAUUGAACAAUUUUAUACUUAUAUAAAAGCUAUUAUGCUAGAACUAGUAACAAGAAAUUGCCCUUCUCCUAAAUGUAAGCAUACACCAAAAUAAACUCUGUUGGUCAUUAACGUAAAUGCUAAACUAUAGUAACACUCACUAGAAAACCCUAUAACUCCCAACGUUAACCUUACACCAGAACAUUACAGGAAAGAUUAAAAGAAAAAGAAGGAACUCGGCAAAUCUUAGCCUCGCCUGUUUACCAAAAACAUCGCCUCUUG